rnacentral:rRNA from 1 species
UGUUACCUACGGGGGGCAGCAGUGGGGGAUAUUGCACAAUGGGGGGAACCCUGAUGCAGCGACGCCGCGUGGGUGAAGGAGUAUUUCGGUAUGUAAAGCCCUAUCGGCAGGGAAGAAGCAAGACGGUACCUGACUAAGAAGCCCCGGCUAACUACGUGCCAGCAGCCGCGGGAAUACGGAGGGGCGAGCGUUAUCCGGAUUCACUGGGUGUAAAGGGAGCGAAGACGGCCAAGGAAGCCAGGGGUGAAGGGCCGGGGCCCAACCCCGGGA